rnacentral:rRNA from 1 species
CUAAUUAUGCAGUCGUACGUGUGUAGCAGAUAUUGCUCUGUGGAUCAGUGGCGAACGGGUGAGUAACACGUGAGCAACCUGCCCCAGACUCUGGGAUAACAGUUGGAAACAGCUGCUAAUACCGGAUACGAGACGUGAAGGCAUCUUCAACGUUUGGAAAGAAUUUCGGUCUGGGAUGGGCUCGCGGCCUAUCAGCUUGUUGGUGAGGUAAUGGCUCACCAAGGCGUCGACGGGUAGCCGGCCUGAGAGGGUGACCGGCCACACUGGGACUGAGACACGGCCCAGACUCCUACGGGAGGCAGCAGUGGGGAAUAUUGCACAAUGGGCGCAAGCCUGAUGCAGCAACGCCGCGUGAGGGAUGACGGCCUUCGGGUUGUAAACCUCUUUUAGCAGGGAAGAAGCGAAAGUGACGGUACCUGCAGAAAAAGCACCGGCUAACUACGUGCCAGCAGCCGCGGUAAUACGUAGGGUGCAAGCGUUAUCCGGAAUUAUUGGGCGUAAAGAGCUCGUAGGCGGUUUGUCGCGUCUGCUGUGAAAACCCGAGGCUCAACCUCGGGCCUGCAGUGGGUACGGGCAGACUAGAGUGCGGUAGGGGAGAUUGGAAUUCCUGGUGUAGCGGUGGAAUGCGCAGAUAUCAGGAGGAACACCGAUGGCGAAGGCAGAUCUCUGGGCCGUAACUGACGCUGAGGAGCGAAAGGGUGGGGAGCAAACAGGCUUAGAUACCCUGGUAGUCCACCCCGUAAACGUUGGGAACUAGUUGUGGGGUCCAUUCCACGGAUUCCGUGACGCAGCUAACGCAUUAAGUUCCCCGCCUGGGGAGUACGGCCGCAAGGCUAAAACUCAAAGGAAUUGACGGGGACCCGCACAAGCGGCGGAGCAUGCGGAUUAAUUCGAUGCAACGCGAAGAACCUUACCAAGGCUUGACAUACACGAGAAC